rnacentral:rRNA from 1 species
GGGUUGUGAGGUUAAGCGACUAAGCGUACACGGUGGAUGCCCUGGCAGUCAGAGGCGAUGAAGGACGUGCUAAUCUGCGAUAAGCGUCGGUAAGGUGAUAUGAACCGUUAUAACCGGCGAUUUCCGAAUGGGGAAACCCAGUGUGUUUCGACACACUAUCAUUAACUGAAUCCAUAGGUUAAUGAGGCGAACCGGGGGAACUGAAACAUCUAAGUACCCCGAGGAAAAGAAAUCAACCGAGAUUCCCCCAGUAGCGGCGAGCGAACGGGGAGCAGCCCAGAGCCUGAAUCAGUGUGUGUGUUAGUGGAAGCGUCUGGAAAGGCGUGCGAUACAGGGUGACAGCCCCGUACACAAAAAUGCACAUGCUGUGAGCUCGAUGAGUAGGGCGGGACACGUGGUAUCCUGUCUGAAUAUGGGGGGACCAUCCUCCAAGGCUAAAUACUCCUGACUGACCGAUAGUGAACCAGUACCGUGAGGGAAAGGCGAAAAGAACCCCGGCGAGGGGAGUGAAAAAGAACCUGAAACCGUGUACGUACAAGCAGUGGGAGCACGCUUAGGCGUGUGACUGCGUACCUUUUGUAUAAUGGGUCAGCGACUUAUAUUCUGUAGCAAGGUUAACCGAAUAGGGGAGCCGAAGGGAAACCGAGUCUUAACUGGGCGUUAAGUUGCAGGGUAUAGACCCGAAACCCGGUGAUCUAGCCAUGGGCAGGUUGAAGGUUGGGUAACACUAACUGGAGGACCGAACCGACUAAUGUUGAAAAAUUAGCGGAUGACUUGUGGCUGGGGGUGAAAGGCCAAUCAAACCGGGAGAUAGCUGGUUCUCCCCGAAAGCUAUUUAGGUAGCGCCUCGUGAAUUCAUCUCCGGGGGUAGAGCACUGUUUCGGCAAGGGGGUCAUCCCGACUUACCAACCCGAUGCAAACUGCGAAUACCGGAGAAUGUUAUCACGGGAGACACACGGCGGGUGCUAACGUCCGUCGUGAAGAGGGAAACAACCCAGACCGCCAGCUAAGGUCCCAAAGUCAUGGUUAAGUGGGAAACGAUGUGGGAAGGCCCAGACAGCCAGGAUGUUGGCUUAGAAGCAGCCAUCAUUUAAAGAAAGCGUAAUAGCUCACUGGUCGAGUCGGCCUGCGCGGAAGAUGUAACGGGGCUAAACCAUGCACCGAAGCUGCGGCAGCGACGCUGAUGCGUUGUUGGGUAGGGGAGCGUUCUGUAAGCCUGCGAAGGUGUGCUGUGAGGCAUGCUGGAGGUAUCAGAAGUGCGAAUGCUGACAUAAGUAACGAUAAAGCGGGUGAAAAGCCCGCUCGCCGGAAGACCAAGGGUUCCUGUCCAACGUUAAUCGGGGCAGGGUGAGUCGACCCCUAAGGCGAGGCCGAAAGGCGUAGUCGAUGGGAAACAGGUUAAUAUUCCUGUGCUUGGUGUUACUGCGAAGGGGGGACGGAGAAGGCUAUGUUGGCCGGGCGACGGUUGUCCCGGUUUAAGCGUGUAGGCUGGUUUUCCAGGCAAAUCCGGAAAAUCAAGGCUGAGGCGUGAUGACGAGGCACUACGGUGCUGAAGCAACAAAUGCCCUGCUUCCAGGAAAAGCCUCUAAGCAUCAGGUAACAUCAAAUCGUACCCCAAACCGACACAGGUGGUCAGGUAGAGAAUACCAAGGCGCUUGAGAGAACUCGGGUGAAGGAACUAGGCAAAAUGGUGCCGUAACUUCGGGAGAAGGCACGCUGAUAUGUAGGUGAAGUCCCUCGCGGAUGGAGCUGAAAUCAGUCGAAGAUACCAGCUGGCUGCAACUGUUUAUUAAAAACACAGCACUGUGCAAACACGAAAGUGGACGUAUACGGUGUGACGCCUGCCCGGUGCCGGAAGGUUAAUUGAUGGGGUCAGCGCAAGCGAAGCUCUUGAUCGAAGCCCCGGUAAACGGCGGCCGUAACUAUAACGGUCCUAAGGUAGCGAAAUUCCUUGUCGGGUAAGUUCCGACCUGCACGAAUGGCGUAAUGAUGGCCAGGCUGUCUCCACCCGAGACUCAGUGAAAUUGAACUCGCUGUGAAGAUGCAGUGUACCCGCGGCAAGACGGAAAGACCCCGUGAACCUUUACUAUAGCUUGACACUGAACAUUGAGCCUUGAUGUGUAGGAUAGGUGGGAGGCUUUGAAGUGUGGACGCCAGUCUGCAUGGAGCCGACCUUGAAAUACCACCCUUUAAUGUUU